rnacentral:rRNA from 1 species
AACGAACGCUGGCGGCAUGCCUAACACAUGCAAGUCGAACGAGACCUUCGGGUCUAGGGGCGCACGGGGGCGGAAGGCGUGGGAACCUGCCCGUAGGUUCGGAAUAACUCCCCGAAAGGGGUGCUAAUACCGGAUAAUGUCUUCGGACCAAGGAUUUAUCGCCUUUGGAUGGGCCCGCGUUGGAUUAGCUGGUUGGUAGGGUAAAAGCCUGCCAAGGCGACGAUCCAUAGCUGGUCUGAGAGGAUGCCCAUGCACACUGGGACUGCGACCCGGCCCAGACUGCUACGGGAGGCAGCAGUGGGGAAUAUUGGACAAUGGGCGAAAGUCUGACACAGCCAUGUCGCGGGAGUGAUGAAUGCCUUAGGGUUGUAAAGCUCUUUGACACGGGAUGAUAAUGACGGUACCGGGAGAAUAAGCUCCGGCUAACUCCGUG